ACGGGAGGCAGCAGUGGGGAAUAUUGCACAAUGGGGGAAACCCUGAUGCAGCGACGCCGCGUGAAGGAAGAAGUAUCUCGGUAUGUAAACUUCUAUCAGCAGGGAAGAUAAUGACGGUACCUGACUAAGAAGCCCCGGCUAACUACGUGCCAGCAGCCGCGGUAAUACGUAGGGGGCAAGCGUUAUCCGGAUUUACUGGGUGUAAAGGGAGCGUAGACGGACCAGCAAGUCUGAUGUGAAAGGCAGGGGCUCAACUCCUGGACUGCAUUGGGAACUGUUGGUCUUGAGUGCCGGAGGGGUAAGCGGAAUUCCUAGUGUAGCGGUGAAAUGCGUAGAUAUUAGGAGGAACACCAGUGGCGAAGGCGGCUUACUAGACGGUAACUGACGUUGAGGCUCGAAAGCGUGGGGAGCAAACAGGAUUAGAUACCCUGGUA
rnacentral:rRNA from 1 species